UACGAAGGGUGCAAGCGUUAAUCGGAAUUACUGGGCAUAAACGCGCAUAGGUAAUUCAACAAAUUGGAUGUGAAAGCCCCGAGCUCAACCUGGGAACUGCAUCCAAAACUACUGGGCUAGAGUAUGGUAGAGGGUGGUGGAAUUUCCUGUGUAGCGGUGAAAUGCGUAGAUAUAGGAAGGAACACCAGUGGCGAAGGCGACCACCUGGACUAAUACUGACACUGAGGUGCGAAAGCGUGGGGAGCAAACA
rnacentral:rRNA from 1 species